UUUUCCACUGCACGAGUGAUGUGACGUGUUGCUCGAUAAAGAAUAGGUGUAUAAAAGAGCCCGCGUCAUUGGCGCCCGGCCAUUCCCGUUAACGAAACUAAGCGGACAGAACUAGAAAUCUGUAUCAAAUUACACAUCCAGGUCCACGCAAGACAAAACAAUGUCCAGCAGCGGAAAAUACGGAGGAACUGCAGACAAGCCAGAUUUGGAUAACCACGGCAACCAAUGCAAUCCCAACAACUCCAAUUACCAAGGGCACCAAUCGGGAUAUUCCGGAACCGGAACCAAGCCGGAUCUGGACAACCACGGCCAGCAGUUGAACCCGAACAGCGACAAGUACCAGGCGCCUAAAAAAUAGCACGGCCUCAGCACUUGGCGCAUGCGCCGUCGCAGCGGACAUGGAUAUUUUAUUAUUUAUGAGAUCAAACAAAAUGUAAACGAUAAAAUUUAAAGUCAGUUUUAGUUCGUUCUGGUUGAAGUUAAUAAAUCUGCUUCCGUGAUAA